rnacentral:rRNA from 1 species
GGUUAUACGAAUAGGCCCAAGUUGACAGACCACGGCGUAAAGGGUGGUUAGGAGAUUUUCUAAACUAAAGUCGAACGCUUCCAGGACUGUGAUACGUUCCUCCGAAAGUAUGAAGCUCAACCACGAAAGUGACUUUACUUAAUCUGACCCCACGAAAGCUGUGAAA